rnacentral:misc_RNA from 1 species
UACGUAGGUGGCAAGCGUUGUCCGGAAUUAUUGGGCGUAAAGAGCUCGUAGGCGGUCUGUCGCGUCGGCUGUGAAAACUCGGGGCUCAACCCCGAGCCUGCAGUCGAUACGGGCAGACUAGAGUGCUGUAGGGUAGACUGGAAUUCCUGGUGUAGCGGUGAAAUGCGCAGAUAUCAGGAGGAACACCGGUGGAGAAGGCUGGUCUCUGUGCAGUAACUGACGCUGAGGAGCGAAAGCGUGGGGAGCGAACCGG